rnacentral:rRNA from 1 species
CCUACGGGUGGCAGCAGUGAGGAAUAUUGGUCAAUGGGCGCGAGCCUGAACCAGCCAAGCAGCGUGAAGGAUGACUGCCCUACGGGUUGUAAACCUCUUUUAUAAAGGAAUAAAGUGAGGCACGCGUGCCUUUUUGUAUGUACUUUAUGAAUAAGGAUCGGCUAACUCCGUGCCAGCAGCCGCGGUAAUACGGAGGAUCCGAGCGUUAUCCGGAUUUAUUGGGUUUAAAGGGAGCGUAGAUGGGUUGUUAAGUCAGUUGUGAAAGUUUGCGGCUCAACCGUAAAAUUGCAGUUGAAACUGGCAGCCUUGAGUACAGUUGAGGUAGGCGGAAUUCGUGGUGUAGCGGUGAAAUGCUUAGAUAUCACGAAGAACUCCGAUUGCGAAGGCAGCUUACUAAACUGCCACUGACGUUGAUGCUCGAAAGUGUGGGUAUCAAACAGGAUUAGAUACCCUGGUAGUC